rnacentral:rRNA from 1 species
GACGAAUGCUGGCGGCGUGCUUAACACAUGCAAGUCGAACGGAAAGGCCCUGCUUUUGUGGGGUGCUCGAGUGGCGAACGGGUGAGUAACACGUGAGUAACCUGCCCUUGACUUUGGGAUAACUUCAGGAAACUGGGGCUAAUACCGGAUAGGAGCUCCUGCUGCAUGGUGGGGGUUGGAAAGUUUCGGCGGUUGGGGAUGGACUCGCGGCUUAUCAACUUGUUGGUGGGGUAGUGGCUUACCAAGGCUUUGACGGGUAGCCGGCCUGAGAGGGUGACCGGCCACAUUGGGACUGAGAUACGGCCCAGACUCCUACGGGAGGCAGCAGUGGGGAAUAUUGCACAAUGGGCGGAAGCCUGAUGCAGCAACGCCGCGUGCGGGAUGACGGCCUUCGGGUUGUAAACCGCUUUCGCCUGUGACGAAGCGUGAGUGACGGUAAUGGGUAAAGAAGCACCGGCUAACUACGUG